UAUUGUCUAGAAAUAUAAAUUGGAAAGUUCAGGAUGUCAAAUAUAUAGUACACUAACCAUGCUAAAAAUGCACUUUUUUUUUUCUUUAUAGGGGAUGCAACUAGUUUCCUGAAGUUAUUAAGGAUAUCAAAUUAAAGACCUGAUGAGAAUAUGCAAUUUUAAUACUGCCUUAAGAACAGAGAAUUGGGAAGAGUUCAUCUUCUGGUGCCCUCACCUGCUAUCAGACAACUACAGCAGCCCAAACCGAGCGAGCUGCGCAGAUUUGUUGUGAGAGGAAGUGUCUGACUCUAGAGCUGCACAGAUGGAACGGUGCUGCUUUCACAGGGGAUGUGCUACUCAAAUUUCAAAGGAACAGCAUGGAAAACAUCUUAUCUUGCUGGAGUCCUGCUGCCAGCUGAGGAGUGUGACUGGAGCUCCGAAAACUUCUGCAGUGGCACUGGGGUGUGUGCUGGGCAACAGCAGGGGAUUCCACAUGACCUGGCAGUCCUGACUUAGCUGCUCUGGCAGCCUUUGUUAUCUUACUGGUUUGCUACACAUUUACUGCAGUUUUGUCAAAAGACUCCUUUCAAGAUGACUUUUUAAUCUUCUGCCACUUGGUCUCAGGAGUUUUUUUCUGUGGAUGCUCAAAAAUGAAGGGAACACACAACCCAUGCCCUGCAAUGUGA